GUUAUCUGAACCUUCGGGGAACGAUAACGGCGUCGAGCGGCGGACGGGUGAGUAAUGCCUAGGAAAUUGCCCUGAUGUGGGGGAUAACCAUUGGAAACGAUGGCUAAUACCGCAUGAUGCCUACGGGCCAAAGAGGGGGACCUUCGGGCCUCUCGCGUCAGGAUAUGCCUAGGUGGGAUUAGCUAGUUGGUGAGGUAAGGGCUCACCAAGGCGACGAUCCCUAGCUGGUCUGAGAGGAUGAUCAGCCACACUGGAACUGAGACACGGUCCAGACUCCUACGGGAGGCAGCAGUGGGGAAUAUUGCACAAUGGGCGCAAGCCUGAUGCAGCCAUGCCGCGUGUGUGAAGAAGGCCUUCGGGUUGUAAAGCACUUUCAGUCGUGAGGAAGGCGGUGUCGUUAAUAGCGGCGUCGUUUGACGUUAGCGACAGAAGAAGCACCGGCUAACUCCGUGCCAGCAGCCGCGGUAAUACGGAGGGUGCGAGCGUUAAUCGGAAUUACUGGGCGUAAAGCGCAUGCAGGUGGUUUGUUAAGUCAGAUGUGAAAGCCCGGGGCUCAACCUCGGAAUAGCAUUUGAAACUGGCAGACUAGAGUACUGUAGAGGGGGGUAGAAUUUCAGGUGUAGCGGUGAAAUGCGUAGAGAUCUGAAGGAAUACCGGUGGCGAAGGCGGCCCCCUGGACAGAUACUGACACUCAGAUGCGAAAGCGUGGG
rnacentral:rRNA from 1 species